GGACCCAUAGCUCAGUGCUGGAGCAUCUGCUUUGCAUGUAGAAUGUCCCAGCUAUGAAAGAAGCAGCUUCCUGUGGAACCCAGCUCUUUACUAAGAAUGAUGAGGACUAGAAUCUUGCUUUGUUUUUACGGGAAAGGCCAUAGCUCAGCGGUCAAGCAACUGCAUGCAUAAGGUCCCAGGUUCAAUCACUGGCAUCUCCA